rnacentral:lncRNA from 7 species
AGAAGAAAAAUCGUCCUCCUUCUCCAAUUAAAACUCCAUCUCGGCAUCGCUGCGGACCGUGGGAAGGUCUGAAGGAAAACACGGUGGCCCCGAUAUUCUUCUAACUGAAAAGUGCUACACAGUCUCUUCUAGACGAGAUGUCUGACUAGAAAGGACAGGUGCAAAACCAGAGCAGCAAAUCAGAGUGUGAAACUCAGUGAUGCUACUGCUGUCUCCAGCUGUCCUCCUCUCAGGCUCCCCCACAGGCAGCUAGCUUGGAUAAUGGUCAAACCAGUGCAACGUUCCGUGUAACUAAGGCCUUAAAAAAGGAUUUUAAAGAUAAAUAUCUCAGUUAAUUACUUAAGCUACAGUCUGAAACCUAUUGAAGUCAAUGAGACAGGAGAGCAAGCAGCCAACAAGAUACACUCUGAAGUGUCUUUCUGAAUCAGUAGCUUCAUUCUGCUCUAAGGAACAAACCUCCAUUUCAGCGAAAGUCAUCUUAGGAUCAUGGUGCUUUCUUAGAUCUCUGUCAGCCACAAAGCCUACAAGAGAGAGGACAGUGCUAAGGCCUCGCUGCAGGAGAGUGUUGCAGGAAGCUGGAGAGAGCAGAUUCUCAGCUAUACAUUCCAUUACAAAGUCUGACUUAAUUCAUGGAUCAGGAAUGGAAGACCAACUCCCUUGCCUUCAAACCAUGAGGAGUUUGAGAAAGUAGAGUCAACUUCUCACUGUACCAAACUAAAAGAACAGACACAAAUGAAAAACUUCAAUAGUGCAACAAGCUCUGCUCAAAGAAGCUCACCCAGCAGCCCGUUCAAUGCUUUGGCUUUUGUUAAAAGGGAGGUUCUUCAGAGCAAGAGGUUCCAUUACAUGUCUACAUGUUGAGGAGAAGACCCUGGCCAGUGGCCGGCCACCCAUUCAGCCACUCCCUCACUCCCCUUCCUCAUGGGGGCAUGCAGGGGCAGAAAAAUGAUGAAAAAGCUUGUGGACAGAGAUAAAGACAGGGAAAUUACUUACUAGUUACUGUCAAGCAAUUACUUACCAAUUUGUCACUUGGAGAAAAUUAAUUUUUUGCCAAUUGAAAGAGCUUUGGUUUUUUUGAGAAACAAAAUCAAAAACUGAAGGCACGUCUUACCCCCACAUCCUUUCCCACUUCAUUCCUGAUUCCUCUUUCAGUGAAUGGGAGGUGUGACGGGUCCACAACAGUUCCUCUCCACCUCUCCUUUCUCCUCACACUGUUCUCUUGCUCCACCAUGGGCCUCUUCAAUGGGCUGCAGAUUCAUGCUCUGUCUUGGAGGACCUCAUUACUCUCCUCUUUCUCUGAACUUGGCCUUCACCCCAUUACUUCAUCCUUUUUUUCCCCUUCCUCUGCCUGCCUAGUGCUUUUGCCCAUUCUUUAAUACAUCUUCCCUGAGACACCAGCAAAAAGCCACGUGGGCUCCUGGAGCUUGGCAGCGUCUGCUAGGAUGGCCACUGGUCCAUCACUGGUCAACAAUGAGUGUUGCGCCAUCACUUGUUGUAUGCUUCUGGUUCUAAUGCAAGGGAGCAGAUUAUAUAUAACAUCACUAUUUCCAACCUCAGAUAUUCAGCAAAUGUAUUUUUUUCCCCAAAUACUUUUCAAUGGCAAAUAUAGAUACCUUUU